rnacentral:rRNA from 1 species
AUGUAAUUCAAUGCUUAGAAUGUUAAUGCAUCGGAUACCAUUAGAAAUCCAUAGUUAAACAUGAUUGGGCUAGAGUAGUACUGGGAUGGGUAACCUCCCAAGAAGUCCUAGUAUUUUACAUG